rnacentral:misc_RNA from 1 species
CGUAAAAAAGGAUGAAUUCUUCAUACACGGAAAACAAAACUUGUUUUGGAUGCUUUCCUCAGUUUGAUUGGACCAUCAAGUUUUCCCCAGCAACUUUCUAUCUGUAAAUGUCAGUCGAUGUCAAUAGUAUUUUCGCUUGAACAAACUGUUUGUGAAGAAACGAGAGUUUAUAAAAGAGGAACGACUUGAAACAAAGACAUAUCACUACCGACCCUUGGCUUUCCUGGACUUGAGAAAUAAAUGGCCAAAGAUUGCUUGCAAAACACCCGAUCCAUCGUUCCUUGCAAUGAUUUUUUCUAAAAUCGUUCUGGUGAUUGUGUUCCUAGUGAACGUGUCACACGCCCAGGACAUCAGAAACAGCGAUCUGGAGGUAAUCGAGAUUAAAGGCCAUAAAUACGAAGAUUACGACAUCAACAAUACAGAUGGAUACGAUGGCGGAAAUCCUAUCAAAAAAAGCACUGCACCUGGAAACAGCAGAAAUAAUAAUGGAUACCAAUUCGCAUUACACAAAAAAGUUAAAAAAAAAGGAGAUAUCGAUCAAAUAGGCGACUACAAGAAAAGAGGCCAUGGUUACAGCGAUGGAUACAGCGAAUACAAUUAUGAUCACGGCAAAGGCAAGAAAGAAAAAGAAAGUGAAGGUAAUUUGAAGAACAAAAACGUUCAACCUGAUGCUUUUCGUCUACAUUUAACGGUAUUGAAAAACCUUUCUAAAGACAAAAAAAAACCACCUCACUUAGGAUAUGAAAACGAUGACAUGCAAGGCAAACCAUAUGGCAUUGUAACGAUAAAGGACACAAAAGGAAAUGGUGGAACAAAUCGUCGUUACAGAAGAAGUGGUGGCAAUGGAUUUGACACUGGUGAAAUCGGAGGAUACAUUAUACUCUCACACGAAAUAAAGAGCAAUGAUAAGGGAGGCAGAGGAAUUGGAGGUCAUCACUAUAAUGGCGGAAUUGAAGGAGGAUACGACAGCGAUGGAAGAGGUGCUGUAUACAAGAACGACGGAAGAGGCAGUAAUUUUGCUGGGGGUGAUAACGUCGGUGGAAAAAGAAGCAUUGAACCCACAGCUGGCGGGAAAAUAAACGGCACCCCAAAUAACGGAAAUAGACUACAAAAUAGCAUUAAAAAUGUACCACCAAUUGUGAAACACAACGGGAAUGGAAUCAGAAAUGUUGGACCUGCCAUCAGCGUCAGUAACGCAAUCGAUUUAGGAAAGUUUCAAACUGGCAGUAGACCACUAAAUGGAAUAGGAAACACGGGACCCAUUGGAGGAGCAGGAACCAUUCCCACGAAUAAUGCAGCCAGCCCUCUAAGUAACAAAGGACUCAAGACCAAUAUUGGCAAUGUCAGCAAUCAGAAAACCAAUCCUGUACAACCCAUUAGCCCCAAACCCAUACCAAAUAAUAGCCCCAAACCCAUACCAAAUAUUAGCCCCAAACCCGUACCAACCACUAGCCCCAAACCCGUACCAAAUAUUAGCUCCAAACCCGUAGCAACCACUAGCCCCAAACCCGUACCAAAUAUUAGCCCCAAAACCGUACCGACCAUUAGCCCCAAACCCGUACCAACCAUUAGCGCCAAACCCGUACCAAUAAUUAGCCCCAAACACGUAACAAACAUUAGCCCCAAGCUCGUACCAACCACCAGCCCCAAGCUCGUACCAACCACCAGCCCCAAGCUCGUACCAACCACCAGCCCCAAGCUCGUACCAACCACCAGCCCCAAGCUCGUACCAACCACCAGCCCCAAACCCGUACCAACCACCAGCCCCAAACCCGUACCAACCACCAGCCCCAAACCCGUACCAACCACCAGCCCCAAGCCCGUACCAACCACCAGCCCCAAACCCGUACCAACCACCAGCCCCAAACCCGUACCAACCACCAGCCCCAAACCCGUACCAACCACCAGCCCCAAACCCGUACCAACCACCAGCCCCAAACCCGUACCAACCACCAGCCCCAAACCCGUACCAACCACCAGCCCCAAACCCGUACCAACCACCAGCCCCAAACCCGUACCAACCACCAGCCCCAAACCCGUACCAACUGUUAGCAGCUUAAGCAACAAAGACAAAACAAAUGCUGGACCAGUCAAUAGCAAAAAAUUGAACAGCAACACAAAUAAUGGAAGCCAAAUUCCAACUAAUAACAAACCCCUAAAUGGGCAGGAUGGCAAUAUUGAUGGAAAAAAGAAUAUCAAUCCCUUCGUUACUGUGGGUGUAAAAAUCAACAGCAACCCAAAUGGAGGAAACAAAACGAAAAGUAAUAAUAACGUGCCUGUAAUCGUACAGAAUGGCGAUGCGAGAAAAAACAUUGAACCUCCUGUUGCUGCGAAAGUGAACCCCACAGCUACAGAACACAAACCUAAGAGUCAAAAUGGAUCUACAGGUGGGGAAAAAGAGAGCACCAAUGAAAACAAACCUAACCCACCCAUUCCUAGCCAAAAAGGCAACAAUAGCACAAAUAAUGAAAGCAAAGCUAAAGCUAUCAGCGAGACAGAAAGCAGUCAGAAAAAUGGGAAAAUAAACAUCGACCCCGUUUUACUGCACAAAAGCAACAUCACCGCAAAGAAUGAAGACAACGUUAAAAAAAGUAGCAGUGGACCGAGUAAAAGCGAAAAAAUGAGCAGCACGAGCACCGGGAAAAGGAACAUUGGCUCCAUUAUUGGCGCUAAAGGCAACAGCACAAGAAUUAGAGAAGAAGUUGCCGGUGGACUGCUAAGCAGCGAAAAGACAAGUAAUGGAAGGAGACACGUGGGAGCUACAAUAGGCGGCAAACACACCAGUAUUACUGGUAAUGGGGGCAAUGGAAGAAGACAAAUCGGAUCGGUUAUUGGCAGGAAAAACAACAAUCAAGCAACAUAAGCAUCGAAAUUGGCACUACAAAAAGAAAUAUUGGUUCCACCAUCGGCGAUACUACCAAUAACAAUGCAAUCAAAACUCAAAGCGCAUUGCUGAACAGUGGAAAGAAAAACGGUGGAAAUGGAAAGAGAAACAUUGGAUCUGU